rnacentral:rRNA from 1 species
UACGUAGGGUGCGAGCGUUGUCCGGAAUUAUUGGGCGUAAAGGGCUCGUAGGCGGUUUGUCGCGUCGGGAGUGAAAUCCACUGGCUUAACUGGUGGCUUGCUUUCGAUACGGGCAGACUGGAGGUAUGCAGGGGAGAACGGAAUUCCUGGUGUAGCGGUGAAAUGCGUAGAUAUCUGGAGGAACACCGGUGGCGAAGGCGGCGUUCUGGACUGCAACUGACACUGAGAAACGAAAGCCAGGGUAGCAAACGGG